GCACAGCUCAAAUUUGAAAGCUAGCCUUCGGGUUCGCAUAUGUAAUUUGUAGAGGAUGAUUUGGGGAAGCCGCCUGUCUAAGUUCCUUGGAACAGGACGUCAUAGAGGGUGAGAAUCCCGUAUGUGACAGGAAAUGGCACCCUAUGUAAAUCUCCUUCGACGAGUCGAGUUGUUUGGGAAUGCAGCUCUAAAUGGGAGGUAAAUUUCUUCUAAAGCUAAAUAUUGGCGAGAGACCGAUAGCGCACAAGUAGAGUGAUCGAAAGAUGAAAAGCACUUUGGAAAGAGAGUUAAAAAGCACGUGAAAUUGUUGAAAGGGAAGCGCUUGCAAUCAGACUUGUUUAAACUGUUCGGCCGGUCUUCUGACCGGUUUACUCAGUUUGGACAGGCCAGCAUCAGUUUCGGCGGCCGGAUAAAGGCUCUGGAGAAUGUGGCCUCCACUUCGGUGAGAGGUGUUAUAGCCCAGGGUGUAAUACGGCCAGCCGGGGACUGAGGUCCGCGGCUUCGGGCUAGGAUGCUGGCCGUAAUGGUUGUAAGCGACCCGUCUU
rnacentral:rRNA from 1 species